CGGACGGGUGAGUAAUGCUUGGGAAUCUGGCUUAUGGAGGGGGAUAACUACGGGAAACUGUAGCUAAUACCGCGUAAUAUCGAAAGAUUAAAGUGUGGGACCUUCGGGCCACAUGCCAUGGGAUGAGCCCAAGUGGGAUUAGGUAGUUGGUGGGGUAAAGGCCUACCAAGCCUGCGAUCUCUAGCUGGUCUGAGAGGAUGGCCAGCCACACUGGAACUGAGACACGGUCCAG
rnacentral:rRNA from 1 species